rnacentral:misc_RNA from 1 species
GAUGAAGAACGUAGUGAAAUGCGAUAAGUAAUGUGAAUUGCAGAAUUCAGUGAAUCAUCGAAUCUUUGAACGCACAUUGCGCCCAUUAGUAUUCUAGUGGGCAUGCCUGUUCGAGCGUCAUUAUUUCCACUUAAGCCCUGCUUAGUGUUGGGAAUCUACUCUAGUGGUGCUACCCUGGAGCUACCCCUGAAAGGGGGCUGGCCCGGUAGCUACCCUGUAGUUCCUCAAAGAUAGUGCGCGGAGUUGCGUGGUCCUCUGAGCUUAGUAACUAUACACCUAGCUUUUGAGUGUCCCGCGGCGCCUGCCGUUUAAACCCCAUCUUUUAAUGGUUGACCUCGGAUCAGGUAGGAAUACCCGCUGAACUUAAGCAUAUCAAUAAGCGGAGGA